AGACGUUACAGAACCACAGAGAUGUGGCACGGAGUAAUGUGGGCUGGGAGCGUAAUCCUUGGUGCUUCUGCACCAGGGCAGUGAUGGGUCAGGGCAGGACAAGCUGUGGGCCAAGCAGCCAAGGUCACCCCAGCAGUGGGAGCCCAAAGACUAACAGAGUAAAUCAAGUGAGCUGUGAUAAUCGCACGCAGCUUGGCCUCAGGCAAGGAACAACCUUGCAAACUCUCUUUGAUGAACCCUCCCUUCUGCAACUCCCCCAUCAAGUGCCUAUUAAAAAUUAAUAGUUAAAAACCGAGAACCAUGAAGCAGCAUUCAGACCUCUGAGUCACAGCUGAGACAGGGCAGGGGGGUGUGAUGUGAGGCUUGGGAGCUGCUGUGGAGCUCUCAGAGCCCCAGGGAUGCAAAAAUAAAGAACAGCAUCACCUUUAUCUAUCUCUGUGUGCAUGCACACAUAUACAGUGUAAAUAGCAAUUCUUUUAUAAUGUACAAUAGGAUUAUUUCAAAUAAUUGUAAUAUUUAUAUGUUAAUACAUGGACUAUAUGUAAUAAGUAUGUGUAUAAAAUUUGUUACCAGAAUAAUUAAAUAGCAAACAUGAUUGUA